CGGGUGAGUAACACGUAUCCAACCUGCCGUCUACUCUUGGCCAGCCUUCUGAAAGGAAGAUUAAUCCAGGAUGGCAUCAUGAGUUCACAUGUCCGCAUGAUUAAAGGUAUUUUUCGGUGGACGAUGGGGAUGCGUUCCAUUAGAUAGUAGGCGGGGUAACGGCCCACCUAGUCUUCGAUGGAUAGGGGUUCUGAGAGGAAGGUCCCCCACAUUGGAGCUGAGACACGGUCCAA
rnacentral:rRNA from 1 species